rnacentral:rRNA from 1 species
CCGGCGACCGGCGCACGGGUGAGUAACACGUAUGCAACCUGGCCGUGACAGAUGGAUAACCGGGAGAAAUCCCGCCUAAUACAGCAUGACGCCGGGAAGGGACAUCCCUUCCGGCCAAAGGGGGCGACUCCGGUCACGGAUGGGCAUGCGGCGCAUUAGGUAGUUGGUGGGGCAACGGCCCACCAAGCCGACGAUGCGUAGGGGUUCUGAGAGGAAGGUCCCCCACAUUGGAACUGAGACACGGUCCAAACUCCUACGGGAGGCAGCAG